rnacentral:rRNA from 1 species
GGGUGCAAGAAUUCUCGGUGUGGGGAGGAAAUAUUAUAUAUCAUCAAGAACACCCGUGGGGAGAGCGUGCUUUUAUGUCUAAUCUUCGACGAUGGGACGAGAAAUGGCGGAGCGAAAACGGUUAUAGACCCCGGUAGUCGUCGCGGCCAAAGAUGUAUAUUAGGAGAGGGGUGCUUCUUCACGAGCAGAGCGGGAGGUAUAAAGAUAAUGUUUCCGCGCGAGGAGUGCGCGUGCGAGGGUGAGACUCACAAGAGGAGGAGGGGGGCCCCCCCCAGAGGUGGAGUGUGUGGUUUUAUUGGAAACAAGCGGAACAACACUUCCCAGCCUCGGCAUGUUUAGAAACUCUCUAGAAGGAAGGAGUGUCUUCGGGAGCGCGAACACAGCUGGUGCAAGGCAAUCUUCAAUUUGUUUUGUGCGAAUUUUGGGAUUAUUUCCGCAAUGAGGAGAACCCUCGUUUUUAGUUCCCAGCAUUACGGUGGGCACCUUAGAGAGACUCCCGGUGACAAACCGGAGGAAGGUGGGGGUGACGUCAAGACAUCAUGCUCCCUUCGUCGCGGGCUACACACGUAGUUCAACGGUGGGGACAACGGGCAGCUACAGCGCCGAGAGAGGGUGAUCUCAGAAAAGCUGGCUCAAUUCAGAUCGAAGGCUGCAACUCGCGUGCAUGAAGGAGGAAUCGCUAGUGAUUGCAGGUCAGCAUAUUGCGGUGAAUACGUUGCCGGGCCUUGUACACACCGCCCGUCACACCACGGGAGAUGGUCUCGCCCAAAAUCGUGCCCUCAACCCCCAAGGAGCAGCAUGCCUAAGGUAGGAUCAGUGACUGG